ACCUCUGGUGUUCGGGUUGUCACGCCAGUGGCAUUGCCCGGUAGCUAUGUUCGGAAAGGAUAACCGCUGAAAGCAUCUAAGCGGGAAACCUGCCUCAAGAUGAGAUCUCCCGGGCCUUCGGGCCCCUAAAGGACCGUAGAAGACUACUACGUUGAUAGGUUGGGUGUGUAAGUGCUGUGAAGCAUUGAGCUAACCAAUACUAAUUGUCCGUGAGGCUUGAUCAU
rnacentral:rRNA from 1 species